UGCAAAGACCCAUGUUUUUAAUUACUAUGAAUUUGACUUGUAGGAUUUCACUGUCCCCCUUCUCUGCUGCUUCUUGAACUUGCCAGCCCAGCACACCUGUGAGGAAGGUCCUGCGGCUCGCAGUAGCACAACUGGAGACCCAACGCAGGUCCUGUAUCUGAGGGCUCUGCUAGCCUGAAACAAGAAGAUGUUGACCAAAGAUGAAUAAAUAUGAAACGUUUGUCCA